rnacentral:rRNA from 1 species
GUAGGGGGCAAGCGUUAUCCGGAUUUACUGGGUGUAAAGGGAGCGCAGACGGCGCGGCAAGUCCGGAGUGAAAGCCCGGGGCCCAACCCCGGGACUGCUCUGGAAACUGCGGCGCUCGAGUGCCGGAGGGGCAGGCGGAAUUCCUAGUGUAGCGGUGAAAUGCGUAGAUAUUAGGAGGAACACCAGUGGCGAAGGCGGCCUGCUGGACGGCGACUGACGUUGAGGCUCGAAAGCGUGGGGAGCAAA